rnacentral:lncRNA from 1 species
GUUAAUCUAAGUCCAAUUUAAUCCCAAACCCUAAAAUUCAUUUCUCUCCGUCUCUCUCUCCUCACUCUUCCCACCAAACCCACAUUUAUGUGAAAAUAGAAGCUGCACCCAAUAAAUUUCAAAUGGUUGGAUUUAUUAUUCUUAUUUUGAAAAUCAAGAUUUAUGGAGACCGACUAGCAGUGAUAGAGCUCCGACGAGAAGGAGGGGACAAUGUUGAUGGUGGACGAAUCCAAACCGAAAAGUCAUUCAUUAAUAUAAGAAAUGCAGGCGUCGGUGACCGGUUCAUCGAUUUUGAGCUCGAGUUGGGUUACUUGCUCAGCUUCAGGAUUCGAAUCCGUUUGAGAGUCAUUUGGAGCUACAGUGUUGUUGGUGGUAGAGUUGUUGUGUUUAUGUUGGCGGCAACGACAAUGAUGACGAGGUGGGAUAAAAAGUGUUUGUGACCAACUAUAUGGUUGAUUUGUGAUUAAGUAUUGUAGUGGAUGGGGUGUUUGAUGCAUGUGAUCAGUGUUUGCGUGAAACCCGCAAGCGUAUAAGAUCGUUGAGAAGUAAUAGAUCUAGUGAGUUAGAGUAUCGUACCACGAGAAAUAAAAUUUAAUUGAGUGUACUAGUCUUUCAUUAAAUUCAAAGCGCGCAAAUUAAAAGUGAUUUUUUUGUGAUUUUUAAUUAUUCUAAUUGAAUCUACGAAAACAUAUAAAAUGCGA